rnacentral:rRNA from 1 species
GAUGAACGCUAGCUACAGGCUUAACACAUGCAAGUCGAGGGGAAACGAUGAGAGAGCUUGCUCUCUUAGGCGUCGACCGGCGCACGGGUGAGUAACGCGUAUCCAACCUACCCAUUACAGGGGGAUAACCUUGCGAAAGUAAGACUAAUACCCCAUGGCAUUUUAUGGUGGCAUCAUUAUAGGAUUAAAGAUUUAUUGGUAAUGGAUGGGGAUGCGUCUGAUUAGCUUGUUGGCGGGGUAACGGCCCACCAAGGCAACGAUCAGUAGGGGUUCUGAGAGGAAGGUCCCCCACAUGGGAACUGAGACACGGUCAAAAAGCCUACGGGAGGCAGAAGUGAGGAAUAUGGGUCAAUGGGCGAGAGCUUGAACCAGCCAAGUAGCGUGCAGGAUGACGGCGCUAUGGGUUGUAAACUGCUUUUAUAGGGGAAUAAAGUGAGCUACGUGUAGUUUAUUGCAUGUACCCUAUGAAUAAGGACCGGCUAAUUCCGUG